UAGGGAAUCUUCGGCAAUGGGGGGAACCCUGACCGAGCAACGCCGCGUGAGUGAAGAAGGUCUUCGGAUCGUAAAGCUCUGUUGUUAAGGAAGAACGAGUGUGAGAAUGGAAAGUUCAUACUGUGACGGUACUUAACCAGAAAGGGACGGCUAACUCCGUGCCAGCAGCCGCGGUAAUACGUAGGUCCCGAGCGUUGUCCGGAUUUAUUGGGCGUAAAGCGAGCGCAGGCGGUUAGAUAAGUCUGAAGUUAAAGGCAGUGGCUCAACCGGUGUAAGCUUUGGAAACUGUAUAACUUAAGUGCAGAAGGGGAGGGAGGAAUUCCAUGUGUAGCGGGGAAAUGCGUGGAUAUAGAGAGGAACACCGGUGGCGAGAGCGGCCCUCUGGUCUGUAACUGACGCUGAGGCUCGAAGGCGUGGGGGGCGAACAGG
rnacentral:rRNA from 1 species